UACGUAGGGGGCUAGCGUUGUCCGGAAUCAUUGGGCGUAAAGGGCGCGUAGGCGGUCGACCAAGUCAGGGGUGAAAUCCUGCAGCUUAACUGUAGAAGUGCCUUUGAUACUGGUCGUCUCGAGGGAGGUAGGGGUGUGUGGAACUUCCAGUGGAGCGGUGAAAUGCGUUGAUAUUGGAAGGAACGCCGGAGGCGAAAGCGACGCACUGGACCUCUUCUGACGCUGAGGCGCGAAAGCUAGGGGAGCAAACGGG
rnacentral:rRNA from 1 species